rnacentral:lncRNA from 1 species
CCCAGGGGCUCUCAACCUUUUAGCGGUGUUCUGAGUGCACUGCCUGCUUUUCCAGAGGUCUGGGAAACGGAGCAGAGAGGCCCGGAGCUCCGGCCUCGGGUGGCUGGCCAUGCUCAGCCAGGCACCGUGUUGGAAGGAGCUGUCCGUUUCCAGGCAUCUCUUGAAAAGCAUCCUUCCUCACCUCCACCGCUGCCUCACAAAGGGCAAAGUGUGCCCUGAGAUCCCAGGCUCAGUACUGGGUUGCCUAGUGUCAUUUCCUGCAUCGUUUCUGCGGUUCUGUCCGUGUGCUUUGCCAGCUAGAACAAAACAGCGCUGCUAUGGAAACUGCAAACACCAGGCAAUCCUGGCCCCUGCACUUGGCAGCCCAGCCGGGAGAGAGAUAAUGGCUUUUGUUGUUAUCUAUUGGAUGCUGAUGCUCAGUCGCUUGUACCCUCAGGCCCUAACUAGGGACACGCUGACACUGCACCAUCAGUGCUCGGUUGUAAACUUCCCCAGCCUCGUGAUGCAGGCUGGAGAUAACAGUGCAGCCAGGCCUGCUCAUUAUCCUGAUGACAACCGGGGGGCUUUGUACUUUCCGGACAACUUCUGUGGUCUCUUCACUCCCAGGGGGCCUAGAGCUCUCACAGGUGGUCAAAGUCGGCCCGCGGGAGCUGCAGGACUGAAACCAAGAAUGUCGUCAUUAAUUCAAAGAUACCUGAAGGCAGAGGAGAGAACCUUUUGGCUUUGGGUCCAUAACUCAGUUUUGCAGUAGGGAAGACCAGAACAGGUAAAACCAAUUUAUAAUUUCUGAUAAUGAUACAUGGAUUUCUGUCCAAUAUCAAUGUUCUACUGAUUAAAAAAUGUUCCUGGAGUCCUGGGAAAUGAGUCCAAGCUUAUAGAUAGGAUGACUG